GAUGAACGCUGGCGGCGUGCCUAAUACAUGCAAGUCGAGCGAAUGGAUUAAGAGCUUGCUCUUAUGAAGUUAGCGGCGGACGGGUGAGUAACACGUGGGUAACCUGCCCAUAAGACUGGGAUAACUCCGGGAAACCGGGGCUAAUACCGGAUAACAUUUUGAACCGCAUGGUUCGAAAUUGAAAGGCGGCUUCGGCUGUCGCUUAUGGAUGGACCCGGGUCGCAUUAGCUAGUUGGUGAGGUAACGGCUCACCAAGGCAACGAUGCGUAGCCGACCUGAGAGGGUGAUCGGCCGCACUGGGACUGAGACACGGCCCAGACUCCUACGGGAGGCAGCAGUAGGGAAUCUUCCGCAAUGGACGAAAGUCUGACGGAGCAACGCCGCGUGAGUGAUGAAGGCUUUCGGGUCGUAAAACUCUGUUGUUAGGGAAGAACAAGUGCUAGUUGAAUAAGCUGGCACCUUGACGGUACCUAACCAGAAAGCCACGGCUAACUACGUGCCAGCCGCCGCAGUAA
rnacentral:rRNA from 1 species